rnacentral:lncRNA from 1 species
AAAUUUUGGGAAUUCCUUUGUGAACAGACAAACCUGCCACAAACCUAAUCUAGAAUCUGUGCCAGGACUGGUAAUUUUUUCAAGAUUUACAAUAGUUUGGUUAUCUUCUGUUUCAUCUUUUCCCAAUUUGCAUUUGCACUUAGUUCACACUGAUGCAGAAAGCACCACCCUGUUGCAGGUGGAGGGAAUUCUGCAAUUUUCAUCCUGAGCAGAGGCAGUGAAAAGGAGAAGUCUCAUAACAGUGCCUCUUCCCUGGAGAGCGAGAAAUUGCCUCAAAGUUCCAAGACUGGCAUGAGCAGCUGCAUGUACUUGCUCUAAGCACCAUCCUGAGCAAAAAGAAGGUCCUGCAAAGAAUUGCUCUGUUGCUUUAGUUAAGGUUCCUCGUGCAAAUUCUGUUUGUGGUGGUCAGCAACUGUAUCUGAUAGCAGACUGCAUGUUACCUGACAGUUAUAAACAGAGACAUGAAGGAAGACAACAGUGUCAACAAUCCUGUUAUUUAUUGCCUUUUAUCUGGAAUGGUGCAAACAACAACAGAAUUAGGAAGGCAUGUGCAUGCAGGCCUCACCAUGUGAAGGAUCCUCAGCAAAACUCCAAACCACACAGAGAAAAUUCACUUGGCUCCAUGUUGCAUAGGAAACCUGAAUCACAGGUCACUGAUGAAGAGAGAGGAGAAAAGUGAUUGAAAAACACAUUCAGAAGCUGUCUACUCUUUCUAAGAACUGCAGCAACAUUACAGAGAGAGUAAGUGAUAUUCUUGGAUGAACAAUUUGAUCAGAGAAUAACAGUAAUGUUUUUCACAUUGACUCCUGUUCUUUAAUUGUAUUACAUCGGAUUAAAAAAAAAGAUUUUUGGAAGCAAACCGAGACAAUACAAAUAUGAAUGUUUUCAUCCUUGUGUCAUAUUAUACUAAAAACAAACCACAUGUUUUCUCCAAGAAUCAGAAUCAAGCAUGGACAUUUUUUCUUCUGAGUAUGGAAAUACUUUUGUCACACAGCCCCUCCCAUUCUGCUAUUAGCUAUAUUCACUGUAGUCUAUGAUUAAUGAGGCCUUGUGAUACCCAUUUUAACAAGGAAACAGGCCUGAGUAGGCUGUGAGGCUGUAUGCCAGUGAAGGUGAGAACCUGGGAAUCUUUGUUCAUGGCUUCCUCUAAAUAUUGACAGCAUCUUCCUGACUAGAGCUUGAUUUA